GUGAGUAGUUCAGAGUUUGAUCCUGGCUCAGGACGAACGCUGGCGGCGUGCCUAACACAUGCAAGUCGAACGGGGUAAUGACUUCGGUUAUUACUUAGUGGCGAACGGGUGAGUAACGCGUGAGAAACCUGCCUUUCAGUGGGGGGACAACAGUUGGAAACGACUGCUAAUACCGCAUAAUGUAUCGAUGGGGCAUCCUGUUGAUACCAAAGCUUUAUGUGCUGAAAGAUGGUCUCGCGUCUGAUUAGCUAGUUGGUGAGGUAACGGCUCACCAAGGCGACGAUCAGUAGCCGGUCUGAGAGGAUGAACGGCCACAUUGGGACUGAGAUACGGCCCAG
rnacentral:rRNA from 1 species